AUUGAACGCUGGCGGCGUGCCUAACACAUGCAAGUCGAGCGGCAGCGCGGGAGCAAUCCUGGCGGCGAGCGGCGGACGGGUGAGUAACGCUUGGGAAUCUGCCUGUUAGUGGGGGACAACCCGGGGAAACGUCGGGCUAAUACCGCAUACGCACUACGGUGGAAAGCCGGGGACCGCAAGGCCUGGCGCUAACAGAUGAGCCCAAGUCGGAUUAGCUAGUUGGUAGGGUAACGGCCUACCAAGGCGACGAUCCGUAACUGGUCUGAGAGGACGACCAGUCACACCGGAACUGAGACACGGUCCGGACUCCUACGGGAGGGCAGCAGUGGGGAAUAUUGGACAAUGGGGGAAACCCUGAUCCAGCGACGCCGCGUGGGGUGAAGAAGGCCUGCGGGUUGUAAAGCCCUUUUCAGUGGGGAAGAAAAGCCUCGACCUAACACGUCGGGGUCUUGACGUAACCCAUAGAAGAAGC
rnacentral:rRNA from 1 species